AUGCUUUCACAACUUGACUUCAAAAUAUUUGGUUUAGAGACCAUCAAAGAUCAAUAUGUGCAUGAUGCUGAUUUUAAAGAUGUAAUGCAUAAUUGUAAAGAAGGAAGAAUGUGGAACAAGUUUGUUGUUAACGAUGGAUUUGUGUUUCGUGCUAACAAGCUAUGCAUUCCAGCUAGCUCCGUUCGUCUUUUGUUGUUGCAGGAGGCGCAUGGAGGAGGAUUAAUGGGACACUUUGGCGUGAAGAAGACGGAGGACGUACUUGCUACACAUUUCUUUUGGCCAAAGAUGAGACGGGAUGUUGAGCGGCUGUUUUGA
rnacentral:rRNA from 1 species